rnacentral:rRNA from 1 species
AUUGAACGCUAGCGGGAUGCUUUACACAUGCAAGUCGAACGGCAGCGCGGACUUCGGUCUGGCGGCGAGUGGCGAACGGGUGAGUAAUGUAUCGGAACGUGCCCAGUAGCGGGGGAUAACUACGCGAAAGCGUAGCUAAUACCGCAUACGCCCUACGGGGGAAAGCAGGGGAUCGUAAGACCUUGCACUAUUGGAGCGGCCGAUAUCGGAUUAGCUAGUUGGUAAGGUAACGGGUCACCAAGGCGACGAUCCGUAGCUGGUUUGAGAGGACGACCAGCCACACUGGGACUGAGACACGGCCCAGACUCCUACGGGAGGCAGCAGUGGGGAAUUUUGGACAAUGGGGGCAACCCUGAUCCAGCCAUCCCGCGUGUGCGAUGAAGGCCUUCGGGUUGUAAAGCACUUUUGGCAGGAAAGAAACGUCGCGGGCUAAUACCCCGUGGAACUGACGGUACCUGCAGAAUAAGCACCGGCUAACUACGUG